rnacentral:rRNA from 1 species
GGGGCAUGUGAGGGCUGUCGCUGACUCAAAGUCGUGCACGCCCGAGUGUGUCCUCUCGCAUAAUAAUCCAUCUCACCCUUUGUGCAUCGCCGCGUGGGCACCCUUUGGGAUCAUCUCGGAGGGGGCUCGCGUUUUCACACAAACCCCCCUUUUAAAAGUGUAGAAUGACCUCAUUUAUGCGCUAACACGCAAUCAAUACAACUUUCAACAACGGAUCUCUUGGCUCUCGCAUCGAUGAAGAACGCAGCGAAAUGCGAUACGUAAUGUGAAUUGCAGAAUUCAGUGAAUCAUCGAAUCUUUGAACGCACCUUGCGCCCCUUGGUAUUCCGAGGGGCACACCCGUUUGAGUGUCGUGAAAACCUCAACCUCCUUGGUUUCUUCUGGAGACCAAAGGCAGGCUUGGACUUUGGAGGCCUUUGCUGGAACCUCUCUCUUUUGAAGGCCAGCUCCUCUUAAACGAAUUAGCAGGGUCCUCUUUGCCGAUCCUCGACGUGUGAUAAGAUGUUUCCAUGUCUUGGUUUCUGGCUCUGUCACCUUUGGGACCCGCUUCUAACCGUCUUGACCUUGCGUCGAGACAACGUUCGAGCAUGUCUCCCUUCUCGGGAAGCUCCCUCGACCCCACGAACCCUUGACCUCAAAUCGGGUGAGACUACCCGCUGAACUUAAGCAUAUCAAUAAGCCGGAGGAA